GCUCCGCCCCCAUCACGACUUCCUGUUCGCGCCGCAGUCCUUCCGGUCACGGGCGGCUGUCCUUAAAGGCUCCACGUUGCACUGCCGCCGAGUCUGUCGCGCUGUGCCCUGUCCCGAAUCGCAGCAAAGACGCGGGGGACCCAGGAAACUUAGAAAUGGACUCAGUGGCUAUUGAGGAUGUGGCUAUGGACUUCACCCCAGAAGAGUGGGCUUUACUGGAUCCUUCACAGAAGAAACUCUACAGAAAUGUGAUGUGGGAAAUCUUCAGGAACCUGGCCUCAAUAGGAAAAACAUGGGAAGAUCAUGAUAUUGAAGGUCAAUACAAAAAUGAGAUGAGAAAACUAAGAUAUCAUAUGGUGGAGAGGCUUUGUGAAAGUGAAGAGGGUAGUCAAUGUGGAGAAAAUUUCAGCCUUAUUCCAAAUCUCAAUCUGAACAACAAAACUACAGGUGCUAACCCAUGUGAAUGCAGUGCAUGUGGAAAAGUCUUCAUGCAUCAUUCAUCCCUUAAUAGGCAUGUUAGAUGUCACACUGAACAUGAAACACAUGACUAUCAAAAAUACGGAAAGAAGCCAUAUAAAUGUAAGGAAUGUGGGAAAGCCUUCCCUUUUCACAGGUCUCUUCAAAGACAUGAAAGAACUCAUACUGGAGAUAAACCUUAUGAAUGUAAAAAAUGCAGUAAAGCAUUCACUUCUUCAAGUUAUCUUCGAAUACAUGAAAGAAUUCAUACUGGAGAGAAACCCUAUGAAUGUAAGGAAUGUGGGAAAGCCUUUAUAAAUCCCUCAAGCCUUCGAUCACACAUGAUCUUUCACACUGGAGAUGGACCUUAUAAGUGUAAGGAAUGUGAGAAAGUAUUUAUUACUCCCAGUGCUCUUCGAACACAUGAAAGGAGUCACACUGGAGAGAAACCCUACGAAUGUAAGGAAUGUGGGAAAGCCUUUAAUUACCCCUCAAGUCUUCAGUCACACAUGAUCACUCACACUGGAGAUGGACCUUAUAAGUGUAAGGAAUGUGAGAAAGUAUUCAUUACUCCCAGUGCAUUUCGAAGACAUGAAACAAGUCACACUGGAGAGAAACCCUAUAAAUGUAAGGAAUGUGGGAAAGCCUUCACUUUUCCCAGUUUACUUCGAGUACAUGAAAGAAUUCAUAGCGGAGAGAAACCCUUUGAAUGUAAAAUAUGUGGUAAAGCCUUCAGGUUUUCCAAUAACGUUCAAUUACAUGAAAGAACUCACACUGGAGAGAAACCAUAUGAAUGUAAAAUAUGUGGUAAAGCCUUCAGGUUUUCCAGUAAUGUUCAAGUACAUGAAAGAACUCAUACUGGAGAGAAACCCUAUGAAUGUAAAAAAUGCAGUAAAGCAUUUACUUCUUCCAGUUCUCUUCGAGAACAUGAAAGAAUUCAUACUGGAGAGAAACUCUAUGAAUGUAAAAAAUGCAGUAAAGCAUUCAGUUCUUCCAAUUCUCUUCAAUUACAUGAAAGAAUUCAUACUGGGGAGAAGCCCUAUGAAUGUAAAAAUUGCAGUAAAGCAUUCACUUUUUCCAGUUCUCUUCGAAGACAUGAAAGAAUUCAUACUGGAGAGAAACCCUAUGAAUUAAAAAAGCGGUAAACAGCUCGGAGAAAAUAACUGCAAAACAUAUAUCUGACAAGGGGUUAAUCUCCAUAAUAUAUGAAGAACUCACACAACUGAACAACAAAAAACUAACCAACCCGGUCAAAAAAUGGGCAGAGGAAAUGAACAGACACUUCUCCAAAGAAGAUAUACAGAUGGCCAAUAGGCAUAUGAAACGAUAUUCAAUAUCACUAAUCAUCAGGGAAAUGCAAAUCAAAACAACACUAACAUAUCACCUCACACCCAUUAGAAUGGCUAUAAUCACCAAAACACAAAACAAGAAAUGUUGGAGAGGAUGGGGAGAAACAGGAACCCUCAUACACUGCUGGUGGGAAUGCAAACUGGUGCAGCCUCUAUGGAAAAUGGUAUGGAGAUUCCUCAAAAUAUUAAAAAUAGAAAUACGCUAUGAUCCAGCUAUCCCACUACUGGGAAUCUAUCCAACGAACCUGAAAUCAAAAAUCCAAAGAGGCUUAUGCACCCCUAUGUUCAUUGCAGCAUUAUUUACUAUAGGCAAGAAGUGGAAGCAACUCAAGUGUCCCUUGACUAAUGAGUGGAUAAAGAACAUGUGGUAUAUAUAUACCAUGGAAUACUACUCAGCCAUAAAAAAAGACAAAAUCGUCCCGUUUGCAACAACAUGGAUGGACCUGGAGGGUAUUAUGUUAAGUGAAAUAAGCCAGAAAGAGAAAGACAAACACCAUAUGAUCUCACUCAUAUGUGAAUAUAAACCAACACAUGGACAGAGAAAACUGUAUUGUGGUUACCAGGGUGGGGGGUGGGCACAAAGGGUGAAGGGAGACACGUAUAUGGUGAUUGACAAACAAAAAUGUACAACCAAAAUUUCACAAUGUUAUAAACUAUUAAGACAUCAACUUAAAAAAAAAAUGUGGUAAAGCAUUCACUUCUUACAACUCUCUCCAAAAACAUGAAGGAAUACAUACUGGAGAGAAACCAUAUGAACGUUAAACAUGCAGUAAAGUAUUCACUUCCAGUUCUCUUUAAAACCAUGAAAGAAUUCAUAGUGGAGAAAAACUGUAUGAAUGUGAAAAGUGCAGUAAUGACUUCAUGUCUUCCAGUUCUCUUUGAAAACAUGAAAGAAAUCAUACUAGAGAGAAGCUAUGUGAAUGUAAGGAAUGUGAGAAACCAUUCCCUUCUCUCAGAUCACUUCAAAGACAUGAAAGAAGUCACACUGCAGAGAAAGCCUAUGAAUGUCAGUCAAAUGAGGAAGUGUUUAUUUCUCAUGAAAACUUUCAAAGAUAUGUGAGAAUGCACGCUAGAGGAAAAACAAACUUACAUGUAAAUGUAGACAAUGUGGGAAAGCCUUUUGUCAUCUCAGUUCUUUCUGAAGGUAUGAAAGGACUCGCUUGAUAAAAACCUCUUAAAGGUAAACAGCAUGAGAAAAACUUCAAUUGGCCUGGGUCAUUGUAUGUAAAUCUCCUUCCAAAAAGAAAUAUAAAGGUGUUUUCAACUGGUGUUUUUCACAAGUUUCACAUCAAAGAUCCAUUAGAGUUAGGAUUUUUCUGUAAGGCCUCUUGUGUCCACCAAGAACCUAAUUCAGACCUUUGUGGUUGGGAGUAUUCUCUGAUUCCCCACUUCUCUAGAUGGUAUCUCUAUAAGAUCUAAUGUGUAUAGGAAACACCUGAUGCUGUUAAUAGUGCUAGUGAGGAUGUUUUCCUGAUUCACCAUGACAUCUACAGUGGGGCAUAAAAAGAAAGACAUGGGAGUUUCUCUGAUGCAUUGUGCAGUGGCUGCCUGGACCCAGCACUUCCAUGUGAGAACAGUCACCCUUCUCGUGUCAGGAAGUCUGUGUGUGUUUCCUGUUACUUGUAGCAGAACAUAUUCCCUCAGUAUGUUAUCACUAUGUUUGAUUAUAUACCAUUAUAUACCAUUAAAACUGCAUUUCCUUGUGAAAUGAACACUUCUGUAGUUGUUUUGUUGAUAUAUUUUAUCAACUAUAUUCUAAACCAUUGAAUGCUGAUAAAUAUUAUUGUGGUUUUCAUUUCCUCAGAAAAUAUAUUAAAAUACAUUUUAAUUAUG